rnacentral:lncRNA from 1 species
UUAUAAAGGCUUGUAUGGAGACUUCGUCAAAACCACAAAAUUGAAUGUCCACAAACACGUAAGUUUUCCUUCAUCAAUGAAAAUUGGUACCAAUAAAAAUAGAUGAAUCCACAGUAUCUUGAAUCUAUCAGAAGAGUUGAUAAUUUAUACAUUAGAAACUUACAUAAAUAAAGAUGAUAGAUGUGUACCUUGUUUGUUGACAUCUUUGUAUUUCACCUAGGUCAUUCAACAUUUAAGGAGGCUCGAGGGUAUAAAAAUUUCAGAAAAAAAUUAAACAUUCGUUUUUCAUUACAAAUUUUAUUUAUUACCUUUUGUAGUUGUUACUUUAUCAUAUGAUACAAAAAACAUUCAAAACAAUAAAUUCG